GCCAACUUAGCUCAGCUAGGUAGAGCAGCGCAUUCGUAAUGCGCAGGUCGUCGGUUCGAUUCCGUCAGUUGGCUCCA
rnacentral:tRNA from 1 species